AAGAGAGCUAUAAGCAAUUGUAUGUCAAUAAAUACUUCUUAAAAUAAUGAUGUUUGCAAUCAACCCCAGUUGGCAGUUGUUGCUUUUUGCAAUUUUGAAUGACGCGUAAAUAUAUUAAAAAAGAUUGAUAUUUAAAAUUUUUUUUUCAUGAAUAUGCAUUUAACUUAACAUAAUAAUUAAAAAAGAUAAUGAUUGUGUGCUUAUAAUUUAUAAACUGUUUUCGAAUUUCAACGAAUUUUUGCAACAUUUCGAAAGACUGUUCGGCCUCUUGCUCAAUCCCUUCUUUUAUUACUUGUUUCCUAAAUAUAAUAUGUUUUAUAGUUUCUCCUUAAAUUAACUCUAUACUUAGCAUAAUAUCCUUAGUAUGAGAAAAAAAAAUUGGGUAAUAUGCAGGGGUAGAAGUUCCCCAUAUUUCUUAUAAUGUUCCUAUAUUUUAAAAAAAAUAUCCAAUAUUUCUUAUAAAUCCUGCAUUUUAAUUAAAAUAAAAAAGCAUAUCGCAUAUUUCUUAUCAAUUCGAUACAUUUAAUAUGAAGCAUAUUUUUUGUUAUAGUGAUUAUUAUAAUUUUUAUUUUAUUUAUCUUGUAUGAUUAGCAAUUUUACUACAACCCAAUUGUAAAGAAAGUAACUGAAAUGACUACUUAAUAAAAUUUAAUUCUGAGAAAUACAAGAUUAUUUUUUUUUCUGAAAUGAAUGCUGUUUAUCAAUGUGAAAAGUACAUAGCUCCGCAUAUCCUUGAGUAUUUAGAGUGGUGAUUUGUACUUUGAAACUAAUGAACCCCACACAUCUCAGUUCGAACGAAAAAAAAGUCACGUGUGCACAUAUUGUGGUUAUUCUUCUGAAGACAUUCAAUUAAUGACGGCUCAUACAAAAUCUUUGAUUGAAGGAAGACCCUAUUGCUGUUGUUUGUGCUGUAAGACUUUUAGACAAAAACAUCACUUGACUUACCAUAUGCAUAUCCAUAGCAACCUAAAACCAUACGUUCUUUUGUUAUGUUUAAUUCUGGAAAUAAGAAACUUUCAACUUCAACAGCUAAAAGUAGGAGGACUGUGCAUGUUUGUCCAUACUGUAAUUACAGUACAAAUUUACUGUCUAAUAUGAGAAAUCAUCAUCGAACUCACACUGGAGAGCGUCCAUUUGUGUGCAAGAUGUGUAGCAAAAGCUUUACUCAAAUUAAUUCUUUGAAACGGCAUAUGAUUGUUCAUCUUUCUAAGGAUAAAUUGUGAUAAUUGUUGAGGUAUUUUUAAAAUUUUCUCUUAUAAGUCCCGGAAAUAGAAUUUAGAAUUUCUUUCAAGUACAGGCAUCAGAUUCUUCCAACUUUUGGCAAGAAUUCAGACUUCCGUAAAUUUAGAAGAAUUCUUAAUGUUUCUACAUUAUUUUGUUGUUUUACGUUAUUAUUUUUUACUCUUUAAUUAUGAUUUAUAUAUGAAGUUUCACAACUUGUUAGAUUGUCAGUGUACACAUUUAGGGAAAGAAAAAGAAACUUUAAAUAAGUAUAUAAGUAAUUUAAAUGUUUCCAAUUUGUGGAAAAUUGUUUCAAACUCUUUUUUAUUUAUUUUUCACAAAUUGUGUUGAUAUGUAUUUUCCGACUUGUUCUUAUCCUAGUCUUGCUCCUGAAAAUAUAAUCUUGUGUUGUUUUCAUUUCCUUUAAUUUUUAUCAUUGUAAAUGAUUUCAAAGUUUAUGAAAUUUUACAAAAUAAAAUGAAAUGAAAAUAUAUUAUGAAGGAAAAUUGAAAUAUACAUUUUUAUCUUCUGUGGAUAUGUAAAAAAAAUGAAUGUCCACAAGAUGGAAGUCUUACUCUCAAUGUUAGCCGAGAAGUAAAUUAGGUAUGUUUAAUGAGUGGUGUGGAAUAAUUUUAAAAUCUAUAGAGAAUUAUUCCACUCAAUUUACUUCUCACAAUACAUCCACAGUAUACCAUGACAUGCAUAAUUCUGUGGUCAGUUUGUUAUUUUCAUUUGAUUUAAAUAAAGUAUUAAAAUGAAAAAUAAUUGUUUUUCAAAACUAUUUUGUUUUCAGUGUAGUAUAGUUUUUAUUUUCAUCUUUUAGAAGUUUUAUGUAGCAUUUUACGUCGAAGCAGCUUAAAGCUGAAAUAAAUUUUGGAAAAAAUGUAAUGGUCAGAGAUUUUUACACACCAUUGUAAGUACUUAUUAUUUAGACACAGCCCAGUCAUAUUAAUGUAACCACCACUUACUUUUGACUUACUGGUCAAGGAUGGAAGCAUUUUCAAAACUUCUAAUUUUGUAAACUGUUUGUGUGCUGCCAUGGUAAAAGUAACCAUGCAAGGCAAAAUGGCACUGUCCAAAAUCAACAACAUGGCAAAUGUAGUGUGCAGCACAGGUUAUUGAUGACAGAGGGGAACAACAGCUGCGAAAAUUCUUUUGGGUGAAUAGACCCAGAUCAACUAAGGGGCUACCAACAAUGUCUUGUCAACAACAGUUUAGGGAACGUUGCUGUGUAUGGGUCUGAGCAGCAGACCACUGAGUGGUUUUUUCUGAUGAAUCUUGUUUUGUGCAGCAUCUGACUGAUGGGUGCUGGCAUUUACAGCGUGAAACCUCUGAAAGUAAACACCCCGCAACAAUUGCCGGAAAGGGCCAGACUGGAGCAUUACAGUUUAAGCGAUGUAUUUUUGGCAUAACUCAACAUCCUAGUGCGCACCUUUAAGAACCUGAUUGACUCACUUCUGGCUUUUGACAGGUAGUCACAUUAAUGUGACUGGAUUGUGUUUACUUUUGUAAAUGUCGUGCCAUUACCUCUAUAAUUUUUAUAAAAUUUAAAAUUAUAGUUUUUAUUCGGCAUACUAUACUCAUUCAGUUUUAACCAAACCUUUACUUUUAUAGCUCAUUAAAACAAAAAUAUUGAGAUUUUCUAUGAAACAUAUAUCAGGAGUAUUUAAACACUAGAAAUAAAACUCAAAUUUUUUGUUCUUGAGGAAUUUAUCUUAUUAUUUUAAAAUUGGAAAUCUAAGUUGUCAGAUUGCAGAUUUUUUGUAGAAUGACUCAACUACAUUGAUAGUCUUUAAAUUGAUUUUGAAACAUUUUGAUUUCAAUUUCUUCAUUAUUAUUUUUUUGCAUUUCAGUAUUUAAAAAGAAAUAUGCUAAUUGAAAUUGUUGUUAAAACUUUUUUCUCCUGUGCUGUCGUAUUUUAGAAAUGUGUAGCAAGCAUGCAUUAUUUAAUUACUUUUUUUAUGAUUUUUAUAAUUACUGUAAUUAUUUGAUCUUAGUUGUUUGUUUGCUCAUAUUACAUUGUAUGCAUUUUUUUUCUGGUUAUUUGAAAUGUUUUUUCAAAUUAAUUAAUGUGUUAUUUUAAUUAGUAAUUCAUCUCAGCUAAUUAUUAACUAAAUACUAUCAAGACUUAUAGAGUAUAGCAUAGUGUUAAAUUUUUUGAAGCUCAAAAGAA